rnacentral:rRNA from 1 species
AGAGUUUGAUCCUGGCUCAGGACGAACGCUGGCGGCGCGCCUAACACAUGCAAGUCGAACGAGCGAGAGAGAGCUUGCUUUCUCGAGCGAGUGGCGAACGGGUGAGUAACGCGUGAGGAACCUGCCUCAAAGAGGGGGACAACAGUUGGAAACGACUGCUAAUACCGCAUAAGCCCACAGGUCGGCAUCGACCAGAGGGAAAAGGAGCAAUCCGCUUUGAGAUGGCCUCGCGUCCGAUUAGCUAGUUGGUGAGGUAAUGGCCCACCAAGGCAACGAUCGGUAGCCGGACUGAGAGGUUGAACGGCCACAUUGGGACUGAGACACGGCCCAGACUCCUACGGGAGGCAGCAGUGGGGAAUAUUGCACAAUGGGGGAAACCCUGAUGCAGCGACGCCGCGUGGAGGAAGAAGGUCUUCGGAUUGUAAACUCCUGUUGUUGAGGAAGAUAAUGACGGUACUCAACAAGGAAGUGACGGCUAACUACGUGCCAGCAGCCGCGGUAAAACGUAGGUCACAAGCGUUGUCCGGAAUUACUGGGUGUAAAGGGAGCGCAGGCGGGAAGACAAGUUGGAAGUGAAAUCUAUGGGCUCAACCCAUAAACUGCUUUCAAAACUGUUUUUCUUGAGUAGUGCAGAGGUAGGCGGAAUUCCCGGUGUAGCGGUGGAAUGCGUAGAUAUCGGGAGGAACACCAGUGGCGAAGGCGGCCUACUGGGCACCAACUGACGCUGAGGCUCGAAAGUGUGGGUAGCAAACAGGAUUAGAUACCCUGGUAGUCCACACCGUAAACGAUGAUUACUAGGUGUUGGAGGAUUGACCCCUUCAGUGCCGCAGUUAACACAAUAAGUAAUCCACCUGGGGAGUACGACCGCAAGGUUGAAACUCAAAGGAAUUGACGGGGGCCCGCACAAGCAGUGGAGUAU